GUGUCAGCCGCCGCGGUAAAACCAGCACCUCAAGUGGUUAGGAUGAUUAUUGGGCCUAAAGCAUCCGUAGCCGGCUCUGUAAGUUUUCGGUUAAAUCUAUAUGCUCAACAUAUAGGCUGCCGGGAAUACUGCACAGCUAGGGAGUGGGAGAGGUAGACGGUACUCGAUAGGAAGGGGUAAAAUCCUUUGAUCUAUUGAUGACCACCUGUGGCGAAGGCGGUCUACUAGAACACGUUCGACGGUGAGGGAUGAAAGCUGGGGGAGCAAACCGGAUUAGAUACCCGGGUAGUCCCAGCCGUAAACUAUGCAAACUCGGUGAUGCACUGGCUUGGUGCCAGUGCAGUGUCGCAGGGAAGCCGUUAAGUUUGCCGCCUGGGAAGUACGUACGCAAGUAUGAAACUUAAAGGAAUUGGCGGGGGAGCACCACAAGGGGUGAAGCCUGCGGUUCAAUUGGAGUCAACGCCAGAAAUCUUACCCGGAGAGACAGCAGAAUGAAGGUCAAGCUGAAGACUUUACCAGACAAGCUGAGAGGUGGUGCAUGGCCGUCGUCAGCUCGUGCCGUGAGAUGUCCUGUUAAGUCAGGUAACGAGCGAGAUCCUUGCCUCUAGUUGCCACCAUUACUCUCAGGAGUAGUGGGGCGAAUUAGCGGGACCGCCGUAGUUAAUACGGAGGAAGGAAAGGGCCACGGCAGGUCAGUAUGCCCCGAAACUCUGGGGCCACACGCGGGCUGCAAUGGUAGUGACAAUGGGUUUCGAAUCCGAGAGGAGGAGGUAAUCCUCAAACGCUACCACAGUUAUGACUGAGGGCUGUAACUCGCCCUCACGAAUAUGGAAUCCCUAGUAACUGCGUGUCAUUAUCGCGCGGUGAAUACGUCCCUGCUCCUUGCACACACCGCCCGUC
rnacentral:rRNA from 1 species